rnacentral:rRNA from 1 species
CAGUCGCCACGGUAAUACAGAGGGUGCGAGCGUUAAUCGGAUUUACUGGGCGUAAAGCGUGCGUAGGCGGCUUCUUAAGUCGGAUGUGAAAUCCCUGAGCUUAACUUAGGAAUUGCAUUCGAUACUGGGAAGCUAGAGUAUGGGAGAGGAUGGUAGAAUUCCAGGUGUAGCGGUGAAAUGCGUAGAGAUCUGGAGGAAUACCGAUGGCGAAGGCAGCCAUCUGGCCUAAUACUGACGCUGAGGUACGAAAGCAUGGGGAGCAAACAGGAUUAGAUACCCCGGUAGUCCCUGUCUCUUAUAU